rnacentral:rRNA from 2 species
UGGCGGCACUAGCGCGGUGGUCCCACCUGACCCCAUGCCGAACUCAGAAGUGAAACGCCGUAGCGCCGAUGGUAGUGUGGGGCCUCCCCAUGCGAGAGUAGGGAACUGCCA